GAAGAGCUGGGCCAGGGCAGCAGGGCCAGAUUUUCUCUCCCAGCACCCAGGCCUGGCUACCAUGCCAUUUUCUGCAGAAAAGAACAGGAAUCUGGUGGGAGGGCGGUGCGCCUGCGCCUCGGAGAGCAAAGCAGAGGGUGAGCGCGGCUGCUGCCAGAAAGCAGGGUUCUCUAGCGGUUGCCAGGGCCGCGUGUUUCCAAAGCGGCCAGCGUGAGGUGCCUUAGUGCCUUCCACCAGCCAAGCUGUGAUCACGGGGACAAAGCAGAGAGGCAGGGGAGGAACCACCUGGCUCAUAAGGAGGAGGCAAGUUCCCGCGAAGCUGUGCCUCCAUGACACUCCCCUGGAAAGUGAACACGGAGCAGACAAAAAGGUGGCUGUAAUUAGAAGCUAUGGAGACGGGACAGGAAAACCACAGGGAACCACGCGCAAGCCACCACGUCAUGGAAAAGAAGCAGACCCAGGGCCGGCACGGGGUCACUUCUGCCGCACACUGCCAGGCACAGCAGUCACAGGCCGGCCCACAGUGCCUCUUGAAUCUGUCUCCAUCCUGCAGCAGCCUCUUCCAGGAGGCUGUGAAGUAGCGACUCGGGACUGCGCGCGCCUUCAUGCACACGACUGCGACUCGACCCGAAUGAUCAGCAACUUGGGUGCUUACGAGGUGCCAAGGUUGUAACCCUGCACACCUGGCACAUCACCCACCGUAAACCACUGUGGUCACGAAAGGCCCAGCUCUAAAGCAGUGUUGCACCAUGGCUGAAAGCAAAGGCUGAGAAAGCAGAUCCCUGCUUCCCCACCGCUAGCUGGGCGAUCCUGGGGAAAGCUCCGUGUGCCCAUGCAAGCUGACCGAGGACGGAGGGGACUCCGUGUGAUAAUGGACAUGGCCCGCUGACCCCAGGCCCAGGGCCAAGGCAAGGCUUCAGAACCAGCAGCAGAAAAAUACAAGGCAGAAAGCACCUCCUCCACUUUCUGGUUUGCACGGCCCGCCCUGGCCCGCCCGGGGCCCCCACCCCAGGCUAUCUGGCCUCCUGUGACUUGUCGGUCACCGGGUUGCCUCUGCAUCCCUGCACUCCUCCCCAGAGCAGUCUGGCAGCUCCGCGUGUGGGACACGGGACAGAGGCUUCUGCGCCCCCUUCCUCGCCACGCGGCACAGGCUUGGACUGGUUGGGGAUCCCGUAGGAGCACAAUAAAGACUGAU